rnacentral:rRNA from 1 species
AGUGAAGGAAGCGGCGUGUUUUUAUCCCUGCCUGUAAGGACUGGGUAACCCGUGGAACCUCCUUCGUGAUUGGGAUAGGGGCUUGCAAUUGCUCUUCUUGAAC